rnacentral:rRNA from 1 species
GACGAACGCUGGCGGCGUGCUUAACACAUGCAAGUCGGACGGAAAGGCCCUGCUUUUGUGGGGUGCUCGAGUGGCGAACGGGUGAGUAACACGUGAGUAACCUGCCCUUGACUUUGGGAUAACUUCAGGAAACUGGGGCUAAUACCGGAUAGGAGCUCCUGCUGCAUGGUGGGGGUUGGAAAGUUUCGGCGGUUGGGGAUGGACUCGCGGCUUAUCAGCUUGUUGGUGGGGUAGUGGCUUACCAAGGCUUUGACGGGUAGCCGGCCUGAGAGGGUGACCGGCCACAUUGGGACUGAGAUACGGCCCAGACUCCUUCGGGAGGCAGCAGUGGGGAAUAUUGCACAAUGGGCGGAAGCCUGAUGCAGCAACGCCGCGUGCGGGAUGACGGCCUUCGGGUUGUAAACCGCUUUCGCCUGUGACGAAGCGUGAGUGACGGUAAUGGGUAAAGAAGCACCGGCUAACUACGUG